rnacentral:rRNA from 1 species
UACAGAGGGUGCAAGCGUUAAUCGGAAUUAUUGGGCGUAAAGCGCGUGUAGGCGGCCAGGUAGGUCCGCUGUGAAAACUCGAGGCUCAACCUCGAGACGUCGGCGGAAACCAUCUGGCUAGAGUCCGGAAGAGGAGAGUGGAAUUCCUGGUGUAGCGGUGAAAUUCGUAGAUAUCAGGAGGUACACCGGUGGCGAAGGCGGCCAUCUGGACGACAACUGACGCUGAGAUGCGAAAGCGUGGGGAGCAAACAGG